rnacentral:rRNA from 1 species
CGUCUAUAUACGUAUAGCAUAUCAAUAAGCGGAGGAAAAGGAACUAACUAGGAUUCCCUCAGUAACGGCGAGUGAAGCGGGAAGAGCUCAAAUUUGAAAUCUUCAAGGUUCUACCUUGACGAAUUGUAGUUUAAAGAAGUGUUUUCUGUUGGAGUUUUGGUAAAAGUUCUUUGGAAUAGGACAUCAUAGAGGGUGAGAAUCCCGUAUUUGACCAUUAUUUCCAACUUUGUGAUACACUUUCAAAGAGUCGGAUUGUUUGGGAAUGCAGUCCAAAAUGGGUGGUAAAUUUCAUCUAAAGCUAAAUAUUGGCGAGAGACCGAUAGCGAACAAGUACCGUGAGGGAAAGAUGAAAAGAACUUUGAAAAGAGAGUUAAACAGUACGUGAAAUUGUCAAAAGGGAAGCGUUUGACACCAGUGUUGUUUUCUCGAAAAUCAAUUAAAAAUGGCAGGAUUUUGUGUUGUAUUGACUUUAUCAGCUUUCUGCACUUCUUUCUUGUCUUUUUUAAUGCACUUUUCGUUUAACAAGUCAACAUCAAUUUCUUUUGUUGUAAAAGGGUCAUUGGAAGGUGGCUUUCUUUUCGGAGAAAGUGUUUAUAGCCUUUGGCCUCUGCAAUCGGAGAGAUUGAGGUCUGCAGCGUAGAUCCUUCGGGGUUAGAUAGCAUUUGUGCUAAGCUAUAGCCUUUCAUAGACAACUUGUUGACUAUGAUCAGUCAUGUAGCUUACUCGCUUAUGCUAUUUUACCUACGCUUAGGAUGUUGACGAUCAGCUGAGCGCG